rnacentral:rRNA from 1 species
AUUGAACGCUGGCGGCAGGCCUAACACAUGCAAGUCGAGCGGAGCGGCGGUCGGGUGCGUAUGGCCUAGGAAUCUGCCUGGUAGUUGCGGAUAACGAUCGGAAACGGGCGCUAAUACCGCAUACUAUCACCUGCGCUUAGGUCGGAUUAGCUAGUUGGUGGGGUAAAGGUCUACCAAGGCGACGAUCCAUAUCUGGUCUGAGAGGAUGAUCAGUCACACUGGAACUGAGGCACGGUCCGGACUCCUACGGGAGGCAGCAGUGGGGAAUAUUGGACAAUGGGCGAAAGCCUGAUCCAGCCAUGCCGCGUGUGUGAAGAAGGUCUUCGGAUUGUAAAGCACUUUAAGUUGGGAGGCGUUACCAGCAGAAUAAGCACCGGCUAACUUCGUGCCAGCCGCCGCGGUAAUAC